GUGCCUAAUACAUGCAAGUCGAACGCUUUUUUCAAUCAUCGUAGCUUGCUACACCGAUUGAAAAUUGAGUGGCGAACGGGUGAGUAACACGUGGGUAACCUGCCCAAAAGAGGGGGAUAACACUUGGAAACAGGUGCUAAUACCGCAUAACCAUGAUGACCGCAUGGUCAUUAUGUAAAAGAUGGUUUCGGCUAUCACUUUUGGAUGGACCCGCGGCGUAUUAACUUGUUGGUGGGGUAACGGCCUACCAAGGUGAUGAUACGUAGCCGAACUGAGAGGUUGAUCGGCCACAUUGGGACUGAGACACGGCCCAAACUCCUACGGGAGGCAGCAGUAGGGAAUCUUCCACAAUGGGCGCAAGCCUGAUGGAGCAACGCCGCGUGAGUGAAGAAGGUCUUCGGAUCGUAAAACUCUGUUGUUAGAGAAGAACAUGCAAGAGAGUAACUGUUCUUGUAUUGACGGUAUCUAACCAGAAAGCCACGGCUAACUACGUGCCAGCAGCCGCGGUAAUACGUAGGUGGCAAGCGUUGUCCGGAUUUAUUGGGCGUAAAGGGAACGCAGGCGGUCCUUUAAGUCUGAUGUGAAAGCCUUCGGCUUAACCGAAGAAUUGCAUUGGAAACUGGAGGACUUGAGUGCAGAAGAGGAGAGGUGGA
rnacentral:rRNA from 2 species